CGGUCUCUUCAAAGUAGUUUGAUACUUCUCCAAGAUGAGAACCGCAACUUUGUUCACUCGGCGCCAAUGAUUGUUCAGACUUCUUAAUAUGUUGGCAAUGCAUAUUUUGUGUGUGUGUGUGUGUGCGUGCGUUGAUGGAGUGUCGCCCUCAGGGCCUGGCAGGACAGCUUGACGGGUGAGAACAGAUGGCAGCCGCCAAGUUUGAGCGCACAUGGAAAGUCAAGGAUCUGUGUGUGCGUGUGUGCGCCAACCAGACACAACAUUAGGGACUUUAAAGACGAUUUCCCAAAAUGAAGGUCUUCGUUUGCCCUUCAAAAUGACACUUUUUCCUUAAAUAUGUCAUUCACAGGGUGACAAUGUGUUCGUGUGUGCGUGUUUGGAGGAGGACAAAGAAGUUCCUCUGUGACCCGAGUGGAAAAACAUUGGUGAUCUCGGCCGAAUGAUCCGUCCAGGCGUGAUGAAAGCACGACGGAUGAAAAGAAUAACACCAGCAAUCUGGAAG